CAAGUACUCCCUCCGUCCGGAAUUACUUGUCAUCAAAAUGGAUGUGUCUAGAACUAAAAUACAUCUAGAUACAUCCAUUUCAAUGACAAGUAUUUUCAGACAGAGGGUGUACAAG
rfam:Triticum aestivum genome assembly, contig: Triticum_aestivum_CS42_TGACv1_scaffold_591789_7BS